rnacentral:misc_RNA from 1 species
GAAGAUUAUGAAGCUUUCCCCAGUCUACACGAUUGAAUUUUGCUCCAAGAGAAGCUCUGUGUCUUGCAUAUUCGAUCACCAGUUGCCUAUCUACAUCAUCUGUCCACCAGAACCUUCCCUUGCGUGUAGGCUUCGCUCUUGACAAGGCAAUUUUAUCAAGAAAAGCACGUCCUACCCCAUCAUCUUCAGGUAAUUCUGACUCUUCAGCAGCUACCACGUCAUCUCGAAGGUGAUAUCCCUCCAAGCUGCAUGUCUG